rnacentral:tRNA from 1 species
UAAGGCCAUAGUCAAUACUUAUAUGACAUAUGAGUUGCAUUCAUAAAGAGUUUAUUAACUGGUUUUAA